GGAGCUGGGAGCGGCCGAGGUGAACCGCCGGCUGCUGCGGGCGGCCGACGUCGACGUGUUCCUGGUCGACUCCGGGUACCGCCCCGGUGAGCUGCU
rnacentral:tRNA from 1 species